rnacentral:rRNA from 1 species
UACGUAGGGUGCAAGCGUUGUCCGGAAUUAUUGGGCGUAAAGAGCUCGUAGGCGGUUUGUCGCGUCUGCUGUGAAAACUCGGGGCUUAACCCCGGGCCUGCAGUGGGUACGGGCAGACUAGAGUGCGGUAGGGGAGACUGGAAUUCCUGGUGUAGCGGUGAAAUUCGUAGAUAUUGGGAAGAACACCGAUGGCGAAGGCAGCCAUCUGGACCGACACUGACGCUGAGGCGCGAAAGCGUGGGGAGCAAACAGG